UUUUUUUUUUCCUCCAAUAAAAUGUCUGAAUGUCAAAAAUACACAAGAACACAGAAAAAAUAGAUCACAUCGGUCUCUAUGACAGGAAUUGCAUUGGGAAGAGGCCCUUUGGAACAAAAUGAAAGUCUGAUAUUGUGUUCCCAUUAGAGGAAGAAAAUAAACAUACAAAUUAAAAUCCUUCUGCACACAAACGCACCAGUAGCUGCAGUUACUGUCCCACGUCUGGGGUUUGGAACAGAGACAAAAAAGGAUGAGGAAAACAACUGAGAAGGAAAGCAAGAGAAGAGAUUUAGCCAAAGUCCCAGCAAGGUUCAUGAAGUAAUUCAGGUGGGAUGGAAGAAGAAGUAAAGAAGCAACCCAAACUGACCUCACAAUUACAAAUUUAGCUGUUCCCUAAAACGGAGUUUCUGGAAAACAAUUCCAUCAUUAAGUAAGCAUUAUAAGUCUAACUUGCUGCUAGUGUAUCCUUUUAAAACACCAGAGCAUUUUUAGAAAGGCUAUCCUUUGAUGAAAUUUGACACUUAUGCCCACUCCCUCAGAAAACUACCUGUGAUUUCAGCUACAACAUGAGCUUCCAUACCCCUGUUCAUUAGUUUCACUGGAGCUACCUCCUAGACCAGUAUGUAUCAGGACUUAGAAACGUUUUCUAGUCUUGGGCUUCAACCCUCAUUCCUACCUCCCGCAGACACUUAUGUUGACAAGAGGCUGGGAUGCUCUGUGCCACCCUCUGGGCCCCCCACCCCUCUGUUGCCCUGAGGGACAUUCGAGCUCCCAGUUUAUUCUAGAUCACAAUGCCUGCAGCAAGUGACCUCAGCACCUGCUCCCCAUCCUGCCCAACACGAGUAACCAACCAAGCUUCCUUUUGUCCAGACCUAACCAGCGCGCCUACGCUAAGGAUUACCCAUCUCACUCCUACCUCCUGUAAGUCCAAGAAAGACAGAACAGAGGAGGGAAAUGCAAAGAGUAUUUGUGGUCACUGUAGGAACAUGCAGGAGGGAUCAACGGAGUGAGGAUCAGAGGAACAAAGGAAAAGAACCAUAAAAGACUGUGAAUCCUAAAAAGGUGUUAAUGCCGGGGAGGGGAAGAGAAGAAAGAGAGUCUAAAAGGACAGAUGAGCCAUAUAAAGAACAGCUCAUAAAAAGAGAUGAACUCAAAAAAAAAGGUCAUAGAUUUCAGGUUAUGCAUUCAGCAAAAAGGUGGAAAAGUUACAUUAAAAAUGCCCUUGCCAUGCAUCUUUCAAAAAGGAAAGGCGGAAAGGAAUAAAGAAGUGGAUAGGAGAGUUAUAUGAAUUAUGAAAAGCUUCAUUUCUGUGACACAGAAGAAGCAGCCGCCACAAGGUUAAUAGCAAGGGUGGUAAAUAGCAUUUGUUUUGAAAGUUGACAUCUAUGAUGAAUCUACUGAAAAGUUUCAAAAUCUAGUUAAAUCAAAAAAAAAAAAAAAGAGACAAUGAAGGUGAAUGCGUCAGAAUAUAUUUUGGGAGAGAAGAAAAAGUACAAUAAAAAUUGUGCAAAUGCCACUAACAAGGUAACAUUUACAAUCGUGUCUUAAUAUUGUUUGAUAUUUACUAUCCAUGUCCACCCUUGUAAAUAAGGGUUAUCAUCUAGAAUUUGUGCAGGUUCUCAGAGUUUAUUGUCAUGGAAAUUUCUCUUAACAAUUUGCACAUACAGAUCCCUUAUGGCAAAUAGUGAUGAGGAUAAUCACUAUCAUUCAUGCAUCAGUGUUACAGACUCAGGACAGCAGAUUCCUCAUGCCUACCCAUACAUAGAGAUACCAGAAGGAAAAUGGUCUGCAAGUACUUCAGAGGUUAGGAUUUAAAAAAAGAAAAAUGACCUUGGUAAAAGAGAAGAACAGUCUGAAAAACUGGAUGCUAGUCAAUGCUAGACAGCUAAAGACACCUCACUGACCCAGGAAUACACAUGAAGGGGAAAAACCACCUAUGUUUUAUUGCAAAGGAGAUGGGCAUCACAGUGCCUCAUACACAGGACAUGAUUCAGCAGUGACCCUCUACUACAAAAAGGGCAAGCCUUGCCAUUGUGCCUACAGACAGAAGUACAGCCUGCACUGCAAUUGUAGCAGUCAAGCCCAGGCAGGAACA